rnacentral:ncRNA from 2 species
GAUUUAUCCAGAAAGACCGAGGGAAUGGCCCGUUGAAAUCUGAGCAACCUGCCAAAUAAAAAAUGGCAAGGUGCUAACUCCAGCUCUGUUAUUCAGAGAAAGAUAAAUC